rnacentral:rRNA from 1 species
GACGAACGCUGGCGGCGUGCUUAACACAUGCAAGUCGAACGGAAAGGCCCUGCUUUUGUGGGGUGCUCGAGUGGCGAACGGGUGAGUAACACGUGAGUAACCUGCCCUUGACUUUGGGAUAACUUCAGGAAACUGGGGCUAAUACCGGAUAGGAGCUCCUGCUGCAUGGUGGGGGUUGGAAAGUUUCGGCGGUUGGGGAUGGACUCGCGGCUUAUCAGCUUGUUUGUGGGGUAGUGGCUUACCAAGGCUUUGACGGGUAGCCGGCCUGAGAGGGUGACCGGCCACAUUGGGACUGAGGGACGGCCCAGACUCCUACGGGAGGCAGCAGUGGGGAAUAUUGCACAAUGGGCGGAAGCCUGAGGCAGCAACGCCGCGUGCGGGAUGACGGCCUUCGGGUUGUAAACCGCUUUCGCCUGUGACGAAGCGUGAGUGACGGUAAUGGGUAAAGAAGCACCGGCUAACUACGUG